rnacentral:rRNA from 1 species
GUUUGAUCCUGGCUCAGAAUAAACGCUGGCGGCGUGCCUAACACAUGCAAGUCGAGCGAGAAAGCUCCUUCGGGAGUUAGUAAAGCGGCGAACGGGUGAGCAACACGUGAGAAUCUACCCUUUAGUGAAGAAUACCCUCGAGAAAUCGAGGCUAAUACUGCAUAAGUCCCUUCGGGGAGAAAGAUGGCCUCUUUGCUAUCGCUAGAGGAUGAGCUUGCGUACUAUUAGCUAGUUGGUGAGGUAAUGGCUCACCAAGGCAAUGAUGGUUAACCGGCCUGAGAGGGUGCACGGUCACACUGGAACUUAGACACGGUCCAGACUCCUACGGGAGGCAGCAGUGAGGAAUCUUGCGCAAUGGGCGAAAGCCUGACGCAGCGACGCCGCGUGAAGGAUGACGGUCUUCGGAUUGUAAACUUCUGUUAAGUGGGAAGAAAGGCCUGUUUCUAAUACAGACAGGAUAUGACGGUACCACUAGAGAAAGCACCGGCUAACUUCGUGCCAGCAGCCGCGGUAAUACGAGGGGUGCAAGCGUUAUUCGGAUUAAUUGGGCGUAAAGGGUGCGCAGACGGUUUGUUAAGUCACUUGUUAAAUUCUUCGGCCUACUGAAGGUGUGCGAGUGAUACUG